GACGAACGCUGACGGUGUGCUUUAGGCAUGCAAGUCGAACGAGAAAGCCCUUCGGGGUGAGUAGAGUGGCGAACGGGUGAGUAACACGUGGAUAACCUGCCCUUUGCAGGGGGACGAACCGGAGGAACGUACCGGCUAAUACCCCGUACGCUUGCUGGGUCGCAUGGCCCGGCAAGGAAAGGUAGCUUCGGCCAUCCGGCAAAGGAGGGGUCCGCGUCCCAUUAGCUAGUUGGUGAGGUAGAGGCUCACCAAGGUUACGAUGGGUAGCUGGUCUGAGAGGAUGAUCAGCCACACUGGGACUGAGACACGGCCCAGACU
rnacentral:rRNA from 1 species